UCUACCAUUACUUAACAGCCUUUCCUUUUGGAGAAAAACAGCUGUGGAGAGUAAGCAAAUUUAGCAGUUCAGUCCUUCAAACAAAAUAAAGCAGAUUUCUUCAUGCAGAGGAAGGCUUUUGACAGCACCAUUUAUAAUAAUAGGAAAAGAGCUAAACAAAUAGGAUAAACCUCCACAGAGAGUUCAGCAGCAGCUGUGAGGUCCUUGUGACACUGCUGGUCUGGUGGGCUGAAGUCUGAGAGGAGUGGCAUGUGAGUAACAUAGAAGCCCUAAGAAGUUGGACACGACCAGGGCUCAGAAGCAUACACAGAAAAGCUGUUACCAGCUCUAUUACUGACUCAUGUAGCCUACCGUGUCAGGAGUGACUUAAAGGCCUUUGCAUUUAUGACGUAUCUUCUUAAAUGGACCAGACCAUCUCCUGUUCAAAGCAGCAUCUGACUGACAUCUCUGUUGGUCAUCUGAAAGACAGCUGCCAGCCAGCAUCAUCAUCCCAAGGGAGCAUCUCUUCUCUGCUGCAGGGAGCGAUGGUAACCCUGACAGGACUGAGAGCAGCAUCUGUGCCUCUUUCUGUGUUCUUUAGUAUCUUUCAUGACUUAAAAUUGAUCACUACACAUGAGGAUUGGUAUUUUAGU